UCGUAUACACAGAGACCCGUCUAUUUCUUUGGAUAGAACUAAACUUUGAAGAUGUGAACGACUUCAAAAACCCUAGAUUAAGCUCACGAUCACGGAGUGAAUCAGAGUACUUGAGAUUUGCUGAAGCUGGUCCAGAUUGCCCCUACUUCUCCCACCUUCACCGCUCAGUUUCUGCUGUAGCCAAUGAUUUUUGCGUGAAUCACACUACUUUCUUUGCUGCCCUCUCUGUUUCCGUUUGUUUCUUGAGAAAAUUUGUCUAUUGGGUGUGGGAAUGUUCAGUCUUUUACGCAAAAAUCAUGGGCUAUCAGAAGACUGAGAAUUGAAGAUGAGAUGUGUUUUAGGGCAAGCUGAAUUGUCUUCAGCGGCCUCAUGUUCUCUCUUGCUCUUACAAUAUUUGAUUCUACCAUUAUAUGACUUCUUCAUGACACUCUUGCUAUUAGAACGAUUCCUCAAUCACCUGUGUUCCUGGUUGUCAUCAGCUACCGUCAACCCCAUCACAGGGAACUUUCUGUUUACUUCCUGAAUGAGAUGGCUGGUCCUUGUUCAGCUUUUCGUCCUUCUGUUCUGAAGCAAGUGGAACUUUGGUCAGGAAUUUGAUAUGGCUAACCUCGGCGAAGGGGCAUAGCAGAGUGCCACCGGGAAAGAUUAUUGGUCUUAUUCUGCUGCAUAUGCAUUCUUUUGAUGAAAAUGGGACGAUAGAUGAAAUGUGCUAAUCAUGAAAAGGAAGCAAAGUUGGAUUACAAAAACAGUGGCAGAUGAGGCACAUUUUCUGAGGAGGUGGGCUGGCCUAUUGAAGGCGUCCAAAGCAUCUUACAGCUGGGGUUUCCUAGGGGUGAGACCAGAAAACCCAAUCCGAGAUCAGUGUUUCCUAGGGGCGCGACCAGAAAACCCAAUCCGAGAUCAGCUCCAUUUUAUUUAUUUAUUUAUUUUUUUUUUUUGCAGGCUUUCACGACUAUUUUUACCAUUAGUGUUGGAUUUGACUUAAAAAUUAUUAUUUCAAAUUUAAUCAAGGUAGCGUUUGAGUUGAGAUACUAAUAACUCAAGAUCAAUCGAAUUCGAAGUCUAAUAUUAUAUAUAUAUAUUUUAUUUUUUAUAUGUUACAUAUAUUUUU